CUACGGACUUAAUUGGAUUGAGCCUUGGUAUGGAAACCUACUAAGUGGUAACUUUCAAAUUCAGAGAAACCCUGGAAUGAAAAAUGGGCAAUCCUGAGCCAAAUCCUAUUAUUUUAUUAUUU
rnacentral:ribozyme from 1 species